rnacentral:rRNA from 1 species
UACGUAGGUGGCAAGCGUUAUCCGGAAUUAUUGGGCGUAAAGCGCGCGCAGGCGGUUUCUUAAGUCUGAUGUGAAAGCCCACGGCUCAACCGUGGAGGGUCAUUGGAAACUGGGGAACUUGAGUGCAGAAGAGAAAAGCGGAAUUCCACGUGUAGCGGUGAAAUGCGUAGAUAUCCGGAGGAACACCGGUGGCGAAGGCGGCUUCCUGGACCGACACUGACGCUGAGGCGCGAAAGCUAGGGGAGCAAACGGG